CUGGGGUUCACCUCAUUUGUAAUUGCGAAUCUGUCUUACAACUGAUUUGAUGCUCUCAUAUUUUGUUCUUUUCACUGUAUAGACGGCUGGACAUUACUACCUCUUGGCGCUAUAGCUGGAUGACGGGACCUCAUCAUGAUCAGUAUAUUGCUUUUCUGUGCCUACAAAAACUGUUGUGUCGAGACACAAGAACCUUCACUCGUGGCCUGUGACAGCAAGCUUUUGUGGGCAACCAGUGCUCUCCUGCGAAGGCUGGCCUGCUCUGCCAGCGGCGCCAAUUACCUUCAAGAUUCGUGCAUGGCCACCUUUGCUGCUAUUUGUCGCUCUUGUUAAUUACACUUUCUGCAUGUUUUCUCAUUUUUUAGGUAAAGUUUCAUUAUGUCACAUUGUGAA